UGGGGAAUAUUGCACAAUGGGCGCAAGCCUGAUGCAGCCAUGCCGCGUGUGUGAAGAAGGCCUUCGGGUUGUAAAGCACUUUCAGCGAGGAGGAAGGGUAGUGUGUUAAUAGCACAUUGCAUUGACGUUACUCGCAGAAGAAGCACCGGCUAACUCCGUGCCAGCAGCCGCGGUAAUACGGAGGGUGCAAGCGUUAAUCGGAAUUACUGGGCGUAAAGCGCACGCAGGCGGUUUGUUAAGUCAGAUGUGAAAUCCCGCGCUAACGUGGGAACUGCAUUUGAAACUGGCAAGCUAGAGUCUUGUAGAGGGGGGUAGAAUUCCAGGUGUAGCGGUGAAAUGCGUAGAGAUCUGGAGGAAUACCGGUGGCGAAGGCGGCCCCCCUGGAC
rnacentral:rRNA from 1 species